rnacentral:rRNA from 1 species
UACGGAGGGGGCUAGCGUUGUUCGGAUUUAUUGGGCGUAAAGCGCGUGUAGGCGGUUUCUUAAGUCUGAUGUGAAAGCCCCGGGCUCAACCCGGGAAGUGCAUUGGAUACUGGGAGACUUGAAUACGGGAGAGGGUAGUGGAAUUCCUAGUGUAGGAGUGAAAUCCGUAGAUAUUAGGAGGAACACCGGUGGCGAAGGCGGCUACCUGGACCGAUAUUGACGCUGAGACGCGAAAGCGUGGGGAGCAAACAGG